ACCCAUAUCUGGGCGUGGAACGAUCGAACAGAAAGGAGAAAGAAAGGGGUGAAACCCUAAUUCAUGAGCAGACCUUCAAAUUGAAAAGGGAAUUGAAGCCUAGUUGAAUGCAUGAACUAAGAAUGAUGAUCCUCUAAGCAUACCCAACAUCAAGAACGUGUCAAGGAGAGGUCAAGCAUAGGAGGAUAACGGAUCAAGAUAAGGCAAGGUGACAAAUACACUUAUUGGAGUACUCGAGGUAAGUGAAUUUCGAUUCACUUUUUAGUAGGUUUAAUAGAUUUUAAUACUUAUGUUUACGAAACAUCAUGAAAGAACAUGUAAUAAUCAGAAGUACAAAGCCAAUAAUGCCUCAUUAUUGAAGAAGGUUGUAUUUAAGCCGAAAGUAAAUUGGUGGGUUUAAACGGGUCGAAUUUUAUAUGCAUAUGUUGCGUAAUGUAAUGAAAUUCGUUAUGGUUAAGACCUUGGGUAAGAAUUUUUAGUCAUUAUGUAAGGGGAACAUUUCCCGGACCAUUAGGAACAAGUUUUAUAUGAUUCGGUUGUCGGUUAGUGAAUGAACGGAUUGUUUCGUGUUAGUGUAGGAAAUUUUAUAAGUAUAUGUGUAUAGGAAUCCAAAGGGCACGUGGGUUGAAUCAUGGAUUGUCUAUACUAUGUAAAGUUGUGAAUGUGACAUUCCGGCAUAAACCUACAUGUAAAAGAAGCUUGUGUAUAUAUUCGUGAUUAAUUGAUUGUGCGUAGGAAGGAACAUUGGCAUGUAUGAAGGUACGCAUGUAUAUAUAUAAGUGUAUAUAUAUAUGUAUGUAUGUAUGAUAAUAAGUACGUAAGUGUGAAUGUAUGUGUGAAUGAAUGUUCAAUGCUUAAGACAUAUGCAUGAACGUUAUCAAAGUGUUCGAGUAUUUAUGGUUACUAAUGAUGUGCGUUGAGUUGGAAUGUAAUGUAGUUAUGGGAUCGUUGGCUUCAUGAAGAAAUGGAGCUGGAUUUGGAUAAGAGUAUCGCUUGGGUUUUCUCUACAUUUAUUGAAGUGAAGCGGACUUAGUUCGAGUUGAGAGCAAGGAUUGUACGGGGUAGAAUGGUCACAUAGUGUAACUCAUAUAGGUUUUGAAGUAUUAAUGUUAUAAAACAUUAUAAAUCCGUUUUAAUGAAUAUAUGGUAUUUCGCAUUUGAACCUU